CCACCUCCAUUAUAGUCAUAUAGUCGUCGAUACAACCAAACUCCGAUCCCAUCUCUCUUUUCUUUUUGCCUUGGAUUCAAGAAUCCAUCUCCUAAAUCCUCUCUUGGCCGAAUUUCUUCCAAAUCUUUCAGAUUUACUUUGUCACUUUCACUCUCUCUAUAUCUAUGCAAUUACCUCUUCAUUGGACCACAAUAAUCAUCAAGCCCUAGAGUUCCCAAAGCCGAUAACGUGGUCGCCCUUCACCAUUUUCCGUUGGUCUUUCCGGCACUUCUCUGAAGCUUCGCAGGUUACAAAUCCAAUGAACUCAGAUACCCACUUCUUCAAGGACCAUUGCUAGCCUUACCAAAAUCUCCAAAUUCUAAAUCAUAUUUGUGCUCGAAUCAGAGAAGCCCAAAAUCACCAUAUGCCUGGGAAUUUUUCAUACUGAGAUUGAUACUUGAAGCUUUUUUUUGCCCGCAAAUUCUUGGUUUUUCUUAAGGCUGGAUCUCGAUCGCUGUAAUAGCAAUCUGGUACCAGAGUCUUUCAACAAGGCUAGAAACAUGAUAACGGAUUUGGGUCUUCAUUAUGAAAAAAUACAUGCAUGCCCUAAUGAUUGCAUGUUAUUUUGGAAAGAAAAUGUGAAUGCCGAUAAUUGUUCUAUUUGCUGGUAGUAACACUCAAGGUCAGUACGUACCAAAUGUUAUACAUCUUCUUCUAUUUCUUGUUCUCCUCCUUCCUUGCUUGGGAUUUUUCUUUGGUUCAAGGCAGAGUGGAUAUGGUAAUAUCCUUUUUCUAUUUAGUAGGAGUAUAUGAUUUCUUAAGUGCCAAGUGGUCUCGUAUGUAUAGUAAGAAUACCCGAGUAAUACUGGCAGUUCUAUGAUAGUAGAACUUUGAGAAUUUAAAUUGGAAUAGAUAGACAGGUUGAUGCUUAAGACAAAGUUAUGGAAUUGACUUCUCUGUAUGUCACGACCCAAACUGGAGGGCCAUGACU